UUACUUUCAGUGACUGCUUCUUCCAGGAUUUAUGCUUGUUUUGUAAUAAUUUUUUUUUUUAUUAAUUCUAUAUACAUACAUAUAGGCCUAUACAAGAGCAAAACAAGAAAAAUAUACAUAUAUAAAUGGAAACAUUUAAACCCCACCCUAUCCCCCAACAAACACCCCUGUGGUUACAUAAAAGUAUAUACAGAUGAUUAUAGACACACAUAACAAUAAAUAACAGCUGCUAAUUGUUCCAGGGCUAGACAGAACAACCCUGCCGGGUGACCUUAUCCAAAGUCAAAUAGUAAGAAAUUAGUAAAUGUUUUAGUAGGACUAUCGCCGCUACCGGGUAGGCCUAUCUAUAAAGUAACUUAUUCCAACCAAUAAAAAGUACUCCCAAACCCAUACAUUUCCAAAAACGUCUACAAUAUCAAACGCCUUUUGCAACAUAUCAAGUGAGAUGGCAGCGACCGGAGUCUGAACAUUCGACACUGACCACAUGAUAUUGAUAAGAAGUCUGAAUGUUAUCAGAAGAGCUACGGCCCAAAUAAACCCCACCUGAUAUAUAUGUAUAAGUGAUGUCAUAACUUUAUUUAAUCGUUAGCCAGAAUUUUGGACAACAUUUUUACAUCUACUGGAUCAGGGAAAUUGGAUGGUAGCUUUUACACUCGCUUGGAUCUUUGUCCUUUUAAUAAUCAGACUGAUGUGGGCUUGUGUCAUGGUUGGCAGAAGCUUUCCAUUCUUUUAAUGAUUCCGUAUAAACAAAAGUGUCGCCAGAUCUGUAUGGGGGUGUGCGAUAUUGACAAAAAAUCUCGAUAUUUUCUGAGAUUUUGCCGAUAACGAUAAACAGACGAUAUUAUGCAUCCUUCAAACAAAAAAAAAUUGUUUAAGGCUUAUAUUGUACUAGUUCCCUCUUACAACAUAUUAAUAGCAUAACAUGAUAAUAUUGAUUGUUGAUAUUAUUAAUAAAAUCAAAAAACUUUAUAAAAGACAUCCUUUGUGUGAGCAUGUAGAUAUUUUGCGGUCUUCCGUAGUAUUUAUUCUCAAACUGGACGGGAACUUCAGUGUAAAAGUGAUCUUCCGUCAAUCCAAAAGUUUCCAAAAGUUUCUUUAAGGAAGAGUGUUCUUCACAAAACAAACUCUGCCUGCUAGGCGGAGCCAACAAAAGAAACAAAAAUGACACCAAAAGCCAGAGUAAGUACAGCGAGUCGACCCACUCACACGAGAAACACCCUGUGGUUUACACACCCAUUGAUUCUAUAAAAGACAGCGCCUGUUUCGGACAUGUAAAUACUUUACAACCAUCCUUUGCUUCUAUUCUCAGCUUGGCCGGAAACAUCAAUGCAAAAGCGAUCUUACGUUGAUGCAAGUGUUUCUUGCAUUCCCUGAACUGAUCGCGUAUCUCUCCUUUCGAACUCGCAAAGUCCGGGAAAAGAAAAUAUUAUAAUUCUUCCAAGAAAGCUUUCCUUUGCUCCUCUCCUGGCGCAACACAAGAUCUUUAUUGGAUGAUCUCAGAAAUUUGGCCAGGAUUGAACAGGGCCUUUCUCCCUCAGCAGAUCUCCAGGCUGGAUCUCUGUGAGCUCGCUCGAUUUCCAGCUUGUGGCCUGUUAUAUUGAGCAAACUUGGGAAAAGCUUGUCUAGGAAUUUCACCAUAUCUCUGCCUUCCUCAUGCUCAGGAAUUCCAACAAUUCGUACGUUAUUCCUGCUGCUUCUAUUCUCAAAAUUUUCAAGCUUUUCAAGAUUAUGUUCCAAAUCAACUUUGGUCGUGGAUUAGCGGAUAAUUCCCUCUCUGAUGACUCCAGAUAUUCGAUUUGUUUCUCAACAUCUGCCACUCUUGUAACUAACUCAGAGAAUUGUAUUUCCAUCGCCGUAAUCGAUCGACGUAUUACAGCGAAAUCCUCCAUCAGCAAGAACCUUCGUCGGCAUCACCGACAUGUUGACACUGGAUCUCCUCCACCGCUGCGGCAUCUAAAUCCCCGGUCUGUAGGCCUGAACAUGUAAGUGUCUUUUAAUGUCUUCUGUUUGCUUAUAAAUUAAGCGAUUGAGCAGUGUGACGUUGACUUGAUGUUCAUUUCAGUCCCGAAAUACGAAAAUAGCCUGAAAAUAAAUCCCUAAAUUAACCCUUUGCUCUUGAAAUAAAAAUUUUUUAAAAACGAAUGUUGACAUUCUUUGCCCUUGUGUGCAAGACAUAUAUACCUAUUAACAUCUAAAAAAAUAUAUUAUAAUAAGUUGUGGUGUUUCAAGACCCUUUAAAUAUUGAUCUGUUUCUAACCAACACUUAUCAUAUCCCUUCUGAAGAUAUAGAUUUAACCAUUGAAGUCAAAUGGAUUACAUAUUAUGCUGCUUUUAUGUGCUUUUUGGAGCUUCAGAAUUUUGAGAAAGAAAGUCAUACACUUCUGUGAUGGCUUGAGCGUGAGUAAGUGAUGAGAGUAUUUUCAUUUUUGGGUGAACAAAAAUGACACAAAAACACUAAACUUCCACUCUGUUUAGUCUCACUAACAAAAUUCAGCACUUCCCUUACUUCAUAAUCAGGGCCAUUGUUGGGAAGUGACCAACGGGAACAUUGUUCCAGGCCUUUUGACAAGGAAGGCCAUUGAGGUCCUCUAUCAGAUAGACUACUCAGAGAGUGUGGGAGAAGGGGGCCCACUUAUAAAAAGUUUUGUCCCAGGCCCCAAGAAUUUAAGUACUGGUCCUGGUUUAGAUGUCACAUCUGAUACUUGUUCUACAUUAUAAACAGUUAUUCUUGCUUUUGGCUUGGUACUCAAUUUGCUACCUGCUUUGGUUAUAAAUCAUAUGCUGGGAAAGUUUUAGAACAAAUUGUUCAUGCUACUGUAUACAAGUUCCAUUGUUCUCAUUAAUUCCAGAUUUGAGUGUUUGAUUGAGAGUCUGAAGAAACUAAAGAUGAGGCGAGAACAUGUCUUCCCAAGAAAAAACAGAGGGAUGGCCUUGUUAGAGUAAGAGGAUAGGUGGCAAGAAGGAAAAGUUGGUUUCCACAAACCUCAUGUGCACAAGUAAUAACAGUUUCAGACAUUUGGUCACCAGCGCUAUAUGUAAUCAUGCAUAGUCACACAUUUGCAAUCUGCUGAGAUGUGUGUCUACUCUAUCGCUUUAUUAUUUAGAGAUCAUCCUGUGCCACUUAUGAAUGAAUAAUGUUUAUUUUGAAUUAUUCAUAAAUGUGAAGUAGAACGCAGUUUGCUCUAACUCGUUUCUUCUUUCUUAUUGUUUUACUUUGAAUCUCUCUUUUUCAUUUAACCCCGUUUACUUGAUUUCUUUUUCUUGUACCUUUUGUUAGGUUGCUGGAAACCAACUUCAAAAAAUCGAGACAAAAGACAAAAUUGUAUAAGAGUGUUCCAUUCUUCUUCCCACUAUGCGGAAAAGCUGUAGGCAUGAAAUGGUUGGCUGACAUGGGUCAUAUGGUUGUUGAUCUUUGAAGACCAAAGUCUUGCUUACAAUGAAGAACCAGUACCAGCUAUUCCUGGAGCGAAGGUGUUCAAGGUAUUUGGAGGUCUGCUUUUGGUACCCACAGUGGACACAAACCAGUGAUGAAAGAAGCUAAAGGGGAUUACAGUUCCUAUAAAUAAUUGUGACGAGGAGGAGGGUGCAUGGCCAGUGAUGAAUCAGCUGAUCAUCAUGAGGACGAGAUAAGGGGAGCCGGAGACGCCAGUUCAGAGAGAGAGAGAGACACACACGCAGUGGCGUUGCAUGUGUGUCCUUGUGUUUAUGUUUGUGUUAUGUUGAGUUUCUAAUUAAACUUUACAUGUACUGUGCAGCCGGUUCUCGCCUACUCCUUGCCCGUCCUUAUACUGUUACAAUCAUACAACGAGUUACUAGUUGUAUUGAUAGAAUGGCAUUUGGCGUGUGGCUUAAUGGGUGCCUUAGAUUAUUUUCAGAUGAAAUCCUCUCAGUGUAGUACUUCAGCUUUCUUUAAUGGAAGUAGACAGCUUUAUGGUUCUGUGUGAGUUACAUGUGACGCCCACUGAACUAAUGCAUUUCCCUUGUUCUCAGAGUGCAGAUAGAAAGAUCUCAUCUAUCAGUGUGAUUUAUACAAGUUCUCCAGUCCAAAACACAGUGACAUUGCCGGAAAGUUGGGAGGAAUUUGGGAUAGAGGAGCACUGGUGGCUAUAAACCCAUGUGACAGGACAAAGUAUGCUACUCUCCUUGUUUGCUUAAUGGACAGCGACUGCAGAUAUCUUGUGAACACAUUGGAAUAUGAUCCUGAGCUGUAUAAAGGUCCACCAUUUUUUGUAUCUGAAAGAUGUAAAACAAUUUAUUUGUAAUUAUUACAAUGAGUGUGUCAUACCAGGAGGGGCCUAUGACAUUGAACUGCUACAGUGUGUAGAUAGCUUUGAGGAGAAACACAAAACAUGGAGACUGGAAUCAAUGACAGAGAAAGUGUACCUCCUCACUCCAAAAGACCAAUGAUUAAUUAGUUAUCACCAAACGAAACAAUGGCAGUUGUUGGUCUAGUGGUUGGGACAUUGUAUGCCUAGCUGAAUAACAGCUGCCUCCAUAUUACCCCUCUUCGUUUUAGAUUUAAGGAUCAUAAAAAUUAACGAUCAAAUGCAAUAAAUAAUUUGGUAAACCAGUAUAAACAAUAGUUAGCUGUAUAAAGCCAAUUACAAAAUGCUUUCCAUUCACCCAUUUUUUAUUUUUAUUUUUUGUCAAAUUUGGUAAUUACUGUAAUACUUGAUUUGAUCAUUUAAAAACUCAAUGUAAAAACAUUAAAUAAAGUAUGCUGAUUUUUUAUUGAUGUUGUGUAUUUCAAAACUGGACCAGAGGCAUUUUGUUUCCUGCACUACACAUACUUUCUC